rnacentral:rRNA from 1 species
CUCAGGAUGAACGCUAGCUACAGGCUUAACACAUGCAAGUCGAGGGGAAACGAUAUUGGAAGCUUGCUUCCGAUAGGCGUCGACCGGCGCACGGGUGAGUAACGCGUAUCCAACCUGCCCAUCACUUGGGGAUAACCUUGCGAAAGUAAGACUAAUACCCAAUGAUAUCUCUAGAAGACAUCUGAAGGAGAUUAAAGAUUCAUCGGUGAUGGAUGGGGAUGCGUCUGAUUAGCUUGUUGGCGGGGUAACGGCCCACCAAGGCGACGAUCAGUAGGGGUUCUGAGAGGAAGGUCCCCCACAUUGGAACUGAGACACGGUCCAAACUCCUACGGGAGGCAGCAGUGAGGAAUAUUGGUCAAUGGGCGAGAGCCUGAACCAGCCAAGUAGCGUGCAGGAUGACGGCCCUAUGGGUUGUAAACUGCUUUUAUAAGGGAAUAAAGUGAGCCUCGUGAGGCUUUUUGCAUGUACCUUAUGAAUAAGGACCGGCUAAUUCCGUGCCAGCAGCCGCGGUAAUACGGAAGGUCCGGGCGUUAUCCGGAUUUAUUGGGUUUAAAGGGAGCGUAGGCCGGAGAUUAAGCGUGUUGUGAAAUGUAGAUGCUCAACGUCUGCACUGCAGCGCGAACUGGUUUCCUUGAGUACGCACAAAGUGGGCGGAAUUCGUGGUGUAGCGGUGAAAUGCUUAGAUAUCACGAAGAACUCCGAUUGCGAAGGCAGCUCACUGGAGCGCAACUGACGCUGAAGCUCGAAAGUGCGGGUAUCGAACAGGAUUAGAUACCCUGGUAGUCCGCACGGUAAACGAUGGAUGCCCGCUGUUGGUCUGAAUAGGUCAGCGGCCAAGCGAAAGCAUUAAGCAUCCCACCUGGGGAGUACGCCGGCAACGGUGAAACUCAAAGGAAUUGACGGAAGGGC